ACUCGAGCUUUUUGUUUAUAAUGUCUCUACUAUUUCAGUUUACUUAUUUUAUUUACAUACGGUAUUUACCACUUACUAAGUAACUUAGCUAUAAAACAGCAUUUUGGUUGUUAAUUAAUAUAUAUUUAUUGUAUAUUUGGUUCUGAAGCCCAUACCUGAUUGAUUUAACGUAUCCUUGUUUUGGGCAGCUUCUGGGAUGUUUCCAAGAUAUUUGCGGAUUUGGGCAAUCAGGUUUAUUAUCUAAAAAAUUCAUUUUAAUUCUGCAGUCUUUUCAUAGCAAUGCAAAGAAAUAUCUCUUAGAGAUAUUGGCUAUAAAACAAAUUCAAAAUGAAUUUGUGAGUUUUAUUAUGCUAUUUUGUUCAGAUAUCUUAGCGCCACAAAAAACACCAAAUUUGUUUAUGCUGCAUUUAUACUUCUUGUAUUGAAGAUGCAUACCUAAAAAUUUCAAAUUUUUAAUUCACUGUAUAUUGUGCCAAUUUUAGGUCCGUAAAUUGACCAAUAAGUUCUCUGAAAUAGACUUUAAGUCUUUAAUAUUUGAAAUUAUUUUGAAAGAAAAAAUUAUUUGUUAUAAAGUUGAAAUUCUGAAAAAAUAUUUUUGGUCCAUAAAACCUACAGGAGGUAUACAUUUCAAGAAAAUAAAACAUUGUCACCCGAGAAGGCUUGGCUCAUUUUAUAUGGAAUGACCCUAUUAUAUGCUUGUGAUAUACAAACUUUAUACUAUAAUAGUAUGAUUAUUGUAAUACAUUAUAUGAUAUUUUUAUAAUAAAUUUUUUCUAGUAAUAUAAUAUAAAUUAAUGUAGUAUUAUUAAACUAAUUAAAUUGUGCCAAAUAAUGUUGUUUAAUAAUGUUGUUUGACACUUGUGUAAUAAUGGUAUUUACCUCUUACCUUCUGACCUGUCUGUUUAUUAUUACUGUUUUUAACAUUAAUUUUGUAUUGCAAGUAUUAAAAAAUAUUAAAUAUACUAUUUGUAAAAUUAAAGUAGUAUAAACUAAUAAUAACUGCUUUACUUAUUUCUUCAAUAGUUAAUAGUUGAAAAUAAUAAAGGCUGUUGUUGUCAAAUUUCUUGGGGCAAAAAAAAUGUUCUUUCUUGUAAUAUUGCUGACAUUUUAACUAAUGUGUGAUUCACUACAUGAAUACUUAUGCCAAAGUUUAUAUGGUCCACAAGUUAUCUUUAAUAAAACAGAAUAUGAUGUAAGGAGUUGAAGAGGUGUCGAAAUGGAUGUUCAGCCCUUGAUCAGUACAUAUAGUGGUUGUUUUGAUGGUUGUUUACUAUUUGCUAGAUUUGACAUAUUCUUGUUUUGGGCGGCUUCUGGGAUGUUAGCAAGAUAUUUGAGACUUUUUGCAAUUGGCUUUAUUAUCUAAAAAAUGCAUUUUUCUUCUGCAAUCUUUUCAAAGCAAUGUAAAUUACUUUUGAAUUUAUAAAUUUUA